rnacentral:piRNA from 1 species
UUAUGAAUACUGGGCUAUAAACGA